AAGUAGGUGGUGGAACAACAACCAAAUAGGAUUGCUCAAGUAAUGGCGAAUGAAUGAGCACACAUUCAACAUGAAAAACAAAUUGUUAUGAUCUUGUAUUGUAAUUUCAUGAUGCAGCAUUAAUGGAACUGCAUGAACAGAUAUUCUUGAAACGGCAUGUCAAAGAUGGUGAAAGCCCAAUGGCUUCAUGUGCUUUCUGUGCACGGUCUGCAUUUGGUGAUUCACAUUCCUUGGCAAUGGAAUGCAAACAGGUGGUAAAUUCCAUCCAAUAUAACAAUACAACAUUGAGGCUGAUAACAAACAAGUACCAUGAGGGAAAUAUGAAAAGGACUUUGGAAAGAGAAUUAAAAGAGUUUGCAUUUGCUUGGCAUAAAACAAAUUAAUGUUGUCAUGGCCAAAAGAUUGUUGCAUUUCUGGGUGUGUGCCAACAUUGCUCAGCAAGUGUAAUGCUUCUUUCCCCCCACAAAGCUGUUGCAUUCAUGGAUCAUUCUUGUUUGGUGCUGGCAAUAUGUGUUGCAUAGUGGUGCUCUGUUUGCAUUUCUGAUUUCUGAUGUUAUGCGCACGCCUUUUGAAGCUGGACAGACAUGGCUGGGUGGUUUGUGUAUCUUCUUGGAGGAGUGGCUUGUGUGCUGACAAAGAAGGUUGCUUGACCCGUCUUGAAACACGGACCAAGGAGUCUAACAGACGUGCAAAAGAAUGAUUUAAAAUGUGGCAAAACUGAAAGGAAGAGUUAGCAUGUGUGCUCCAACGGCCAAAUGCUUGGUAGACACGCAUUUGAAUUUGAGCAUGUUUGUUAGGACCCGAAAGAUGGUGAACUAUGCUUGAUCAGAAUGAAUUCAGAGGAAACUCUGACGGAAGUUCGUAUCGAUACUGACGUGCAAAUCGUUCGUCAUACUUGGGUAUAGGGGCGAAGAA
rnacentral:rRNA from 1 species